rnacentral:rRNA from 1 species
UAUUGCACAAUGGGGGAAACCCUGAUGCAGCGACGCCGCGUGGAGGAAGAAGGUUUUCGGAUUGUAAACUCCUGUCGUUAGGGACGAUAAUGACGGUACCUAACAAGAAAGCACCGGCUAACUACGUGCCAGCAGCCGCGGUAAAACGUAGGGUGCAAGCGUUGUCCGGAAUUACUGGGUGUAAAGGGAGCGCAGGCGGGAAGACAAGUUGGAAGUGAAAUCCAUGGGCUCAACCCAUGAACUGCUUUCAAAACUGUUUUUCUUGAGUAGUGCAGAGGUAGGCGGAAUUCCCGGUGUAGCGGUGGAAUGCGUAGAUAUCGGGAGGAACACCAGUGGCGAAGGCGGCCUACUGGGCACCAACUGACGCUGAGGCUCGAAAGUGUGGGUAGCAAACAGGAUUAGAUACCCUGGUAGUCCACACCGUAAACGAUGAUUACUAGGUGUUGGAGGAUUGACCCCUUCAGUGCCGCAGUUAACACAAUAAGUAAUCCACCUGGGGAGUACGACCGCAAGGUUGAAACUCAAAGGAAUUGACGGGGGCCCGCACAAGCAGUGGAGUAUGUGGUUUAAUUCGAAGCAACGCGAAGAACCUUACCAGGUCUUGACAUCCAACUAACGAGGUAGAGAUACAUUAGGUGCCCUUCGGGGAAAGUUGAGACAGGUGGUGCAUGGUUGUCGUCAGCUCGUGUCGUGAGAUGUUGGGUUAAGUCCCGCAACGAGCGCAACCC